rnacentral:rRNA from 1 species
AUUGAACGCUGGCGGCAGGCCUAACACAUGCAAGUCGAACGGCAGCACAGAAGAGCUUGCUCUUUGGGUGGCGAGUGGCGGACGGGUGAGUAAUGUCUGGGAAACUGCCCGAUGGAGGGGGAUAACUACUGGAAACGGUAGCUAAUACCGCAUAACGUCGCGAGACCAAAGUGGGGGACCUUCGGGCCUCACACCAUCGGAUGUGCCCAGAUGGGAUUAGCUAGUAGGGGGGGUAAUGGCUAACCUAGGCGACGAUCCCUAGCUGGUCUGAGAGGAUGACCAGCCACACUGGAACUGAGACACGGUCCAGACUCCUACGGGAGGCAGCAGUGGGGAAUAUUGCACAAUGGGCGCAAGCCUGAUGCAGCCAUGCCGCGUGUAUGAAGAAGGCCUUCGGGUUGUAAAGUACUUUCAGCGGGGAGGAAGGCGGUGAGGUUAAUAACCUCGCCGAUUGACGUUACCCGCAGAAGAAGCACCGGCUAACUCCGUGCCAGCCGCCGCCGUAA